rnacentral:lncRNA from 15 species
AAGUAGCCACGGUGAAACGCAUGGCAGCCGAGGGCUGUUUUGUCUUUUUCUUCCACACAAUGAUCAGGGGAGAGCGCGAACGCAGUCCCCCACUACCAGAAAUUACGCAGUCGAGAUUCCCACAUUUGGGGAAUUCGCUCAAUGGUCAAGUCUACGGUGCAAAUGUCUACGGUCACCAUAGACAGUCCCGCCUUCUGGUUGGUCAAUUCUCACCGUAGACUACCAAUCGGAUUGCACAAUCUGACCGUAGACUACCAAUCAUAUCGUCUCCCGGCGUCAUGUGACUGUCCGUAGACAGUUACGGCUUCUGAUUGGCCCAGAGUCUACAUUCGGUUACUUUAUGCAGAUUAGUAUUUUCCUCCGGCGAGCGUACAGUAUUGUGUAUUUCAGUAUCUCCAGAAGAGAGAUGGCGACCCCACCACAGAUCAGGGUCGUCAACCCAGCAGCCCCUGCACAUCGCCAACAGGCUGCACUGACGGCGACCAGAGAGGCCCGUAGUUAUCGGGAUAAGAAGGUGGUCUUCCCCAAACCUCCACAGGAGCUGCUCUUCCAGGCAACGGCCCUGGCCCACACAGAGAAGCUCCUUCAGGCCGAGGGUAUCCCUGUGCCAUCCCGUCAGCUGUGCCUGGGAAAGCUGGUGGUGCCAUUUGGCCAAUACCAAAAUGCACCAUUCCACUGGCUUGUGGCAAAUGAUGUGGGCUACAUGAAGUAGUAAGCAUGUUAUAUUUAAUACCAUUGUAGACAAUUGCACAAACUGUGGCAAUUAUUAGUGUUUAUUAUUCAUCUUUUCAAAGUUAAGUUACUCAUUAUCACAACUGCAAUGAUAUUGAUGUCAGUACUGAGUUGGUGUUUAUCCUUACAGUGUGAUUGACAAGCACAGGUUAGAGGUAACAAACCCCCAGAGAAAGGGAGAGAUUGGGAACCAGUGGGUGAAAGAUUACCUCACAGAAUAUGCGGAGAGCUUCCCACAAGUCUCCAGUCUCCUCGAGGCCAACGUCGACAGGUGUAUCUACGGCCAGAAAGGGUUCGAGGAUCACACCUUUCAGGAGAUGUGGGAACUCUACCGGCAGCACCACGCCAUAAAGAACAGGCCAGAGGAGUUUAGGGAUGAGCAGCGGGAGCUCAUAAAGAAGGCAAACAGUUCUGUAAGGAGAUGGCUUAACACACCAGUGACACACAUCACCAGCGCACAGAUGAAAACAGGCUGCUGCUGUCCAUACUGCACAGUCCACUAGCCAGCCAGUUGAGGUCAACCCAACUUGAGUGCAAUGGUCAGGCCUCGCCCAAGGUGAACCACCUUCUUGAUCAUGGUAUCUCCCCUGUCAGGUAAGUAUGAGUUGUCCAGCUCAGAGACAGGGAGCUCUCUCACAGACACACCACACUGACUGACGGUGCUGUUGUCUCACUAACUCGCGCUGUGAUUGGCUCUGAAGUGACGGAGGGAAACUGUUAUUUAUUACUUAUUCUUUUUAUUAAAUGUGGGUUUUGUUGAAUACCUAACUUACAUAUACAUGUGUUUAUAAUAUUAAUAUAAUGUAAUUAACUUUUAUUUACAAACUGCUCCAUGUUCGGGUGGAGACGCGAUCGAUCUGCUCUGAACUGUUUGGGACUUUAUCUGUAAUCUGUAUUUAUCAAAAUAAUAAAUACAUAUAAUAAAUAUAAUUUGUAUGAGUGGCAGCUUGUGUCAUCUUCAGCCCACAGAACUCAACUCUUCAACUAAUGAAUUUGUAAGGAGAAUAAGGUCGUUAAUUAAACUCGACUUCCACCAUAUGAACUACAUUGAACCCUUUACACCUGAUUGGUGAAAGGAAUGGGAGUUUUAUAAAGGUUUUACAGUUUUUUUCAAUUGUUUACACGCAAUUUUGAAAACCGGGUUCUUUUUUUCAAAAUAUAAUCACAAUUAUCCAAACACCACACUCAAUUUGCAUAAUUCCUAGAUUGUUUGCAAAAUGACACACUUCAGUCGAAACACAUACACAUAUUUGUGAAAAUGCUAUUAGUUUCCAUUUAACCAACACAGUCCUCAAUGAUCAGACACUAUGCAGCCAGUUUCACACUGCUGUGAUAAAUAAAAAACACAUUUUAGGAAAUAGCAUGUGCUAGAUUUUUGGCCAGACAUUGUUAUGUAAGGGAUAAUUUAGAUGUCAUAAAAAAUAGUGACAAACCCACAACAUUCUUCAUGAUUAGUUUGAGAUAUAGGGAGAAUGUACACAAAUAGGCGUACUAUAAACUUAUCAAGCACUGCACAACACUGAUGCUGCAGACUGAAUAUUUCAAGUAUUUAUUUCAAUACUUACAGUAUUUCUUACCAUAAUCAGUUACAGUAAUCAACCAACAAUGAAACAAAUAAAAUCUGUAGACAAAUAAAAAUUACUGCAUGAAGUACACACACUUUGACUCUGAAGAAAAACUACUGUAAAAGCAACAAGAAUACUGUAACUAUUCAUCAUCUCUCCGUCUGGCUGAGUGCUGCGUUUUCAAAUUAGCACAUGUGUGCCUCCACACCUGGUGGAUGUGAUUAUCCAGUUUGUUCAUUAGUGUGGUCAUUGGCAGUCCGGGGCUUUGUAAUGACAAGGAAGUAACCUCACAAUCCUUAUCUGUGUCUAAGGUGUGAAAAUGUGUGUAGAGUUUUACAAAUCACUGUGUGCAAUGUUUAGCAAAAAGGGUGAAGCAGACAUUGUGUGUAAUGUUGUGCAAAUCUGUGGAGGUGUUUUGCUCCUCGGAGUAGAAUUUCGCAAAUUAUGUGGGAAUUUUUAUUUUAGUGUGUAAACAAUCGUAAAAAUACUGUAAAGCAGAAUAAACUGUGCAUUAUCGGUGGUGGCAGUAUAUAUACAAGCUGUCAUUAGACGACAGAAUAAAGCCGCACACCCUUGAGGUUUGAUGUUGUUGACCAUUGNNNNNNNNNNNNNNNNNNNNNNNNNNNNNNNNNNNNNNNNNNNNNNNNNNNNNNNNNNNNNNNNNNNNNNNNNNNNNNNNNNNNNNNNNNNNNNNNNNNNAGACCAGGUUUCCCCAAAAAGGCUUCCAGUUAUCAAUGAAGCCCACAUCGUUUGCUGGACACCACCUCGACAGCCAGCGGUGGAAUGACGACAUGCGGCUAUACAUGUCAUCACUGGUCACAUUGGGGAGGGGUCCAGAGAAAACUACGGUGUCCGACAUUGUCUUAGCAUAGUUACACACCGACUCCACAUUAAUCUUAGUGACCUCCGAUUGGCGUAAACGGGUGUCGUUACCGCCGACGUGGAUAACAAUCUUACUGUAUUUACGUUUAUCUUUAGCCAGCAGUUUUAAAUUUGAUUCAAUGUCGCCCGCUCUGGCCCCAGGGAUGCAUUUAACUAUGGCCGCUGGCUU